rnacentral:lncRNA from 1 species
AUAGUUGCUCCAUAGAAAAUCCUCCACAGUACUGAAAUGAGGCUGCCUCACCAUUGGGGAUAGUGAAAAGGACAAUUUCCUUUGAACACACUCAUUUUCUGAUUGAAGAGAAUACAGAGAAUGUGGAUUUUCCUGGUGCCAAGUUGUUCUUCCAUUCCUCGGCCAAGUUUCCAUUCUGAUUAACUCAAGUCUCACCUCAUAGCCUAUUCAUUACCGCUGAAAGUGAUUCAGAUUGUCAAGGCCCAUCUUCUAUACAGCGCUUCCCAAAGUGACGUCGGUAGACCAGUACCAGUAAGAAAACUGUUUCUAGUCUGAUAAGUUUACUGAUUAUCAAAGAAGGACUGUGACUAAACUAGAAGGAGAAUUAACACUAUCCAGAGAUGGCUACAGUUCUGAAGGGAAACUUUGAGUCUCCACCUUUCCAAGAGUGGGGCACAGAUGUCGGAGCCAGACUGCCUGGACUCAAAUCUCAGAACCUGCAUUUAUUAGCUGUGUGACUUUGGAUAAUCCUCUCUCCACAACUUGAUAAUGCACAAACUGCAAAUCUUCUGGUACUCACUGCUGCAAGCAAACUUGAAGUCUUUCUGAGAUGAUGAAACCAAUGUCCUGAAGUCUGAAGUUCCCUGGCUACAGCCUACUGGCUAGUAAUCAGCAGAGUGGGGAUUUAUGUUCUAGGUCGCUCUUGGUUCCAAGGCCACUGCACUAUGUUGCUUUCCAGCUCCCUGCAGAACAGCAAGUACACUUUCAUAUACACCAUAGAGAAUUUUUGAA